rnacentral:rRNA from 1 species
UACGUAGGUGGCAAGCGUUGUUCGGAGUUAUUGAGCGUAAAGGGCGCGUAGGCGGUUUGUUAUGUCGGUCGUGAAAGCCCGGGGCUCAACCCCGGAGGGUCGACCGAUACUGGCAGGCUAGAGUACAGAAGAGGUAGCUGGAAUUCCCGGUGCAGCGGUGAAAUGCGUAGAUACCGGGAGGAACACCUGAGGCGAAGGCGGGCUACUGGGCUGAUACUGACGCUGAGGCGCGAAAGCUAGGGGAGCAAACGGG